rnacentral:rRNA from 1 species
AUACGUAGGUGGCAAGCGUUGUCCGGAAUUAUUGGGCGUAAAGCGCGCGCAGGUGGUUCCUUAAGUCUGAUGUGAAAGCCCCCGGCUCAACCGGGGAGGGUCAUUGGAAACUGGGGAACUUGAGUGCAGAAGAGGAUAGUGGAAUUCCAAGUGUAGCGGUGAAAUGCGUAGAGAUUUGGAGGAACACCAGUGGCGAAGGCGGAUGUCUGGUCUGUAACUGACACUUAGGCGCUAAAGCGUGGGGAGCAAACAGGAUUAGAUGCCCUGGUAGUCCACGCCGUAAACGAUGAGUGCUAAGUGUUGGGGGGUUUCCGCCCCUCAGUGCUGCAGCUAUCGCAUUAAGCACUCCGCCCGGGGAGUACGGUCUCAAGACUGAAACUCAAAUGUAUUGACGGGG